GACGAACGCUGGCGGCGUGCUUAACACAUGCAAGUCGAACGCAAAGGCCCUGCUUUUGUGGGGUGCUCGAGUGGCGAACGGGUGAGUAACACGUGAGUAACCUGCCCUUGACUUUGGGAUAACUUCAGGAAACUGGGGCUAAUACCGGAUAGGAGCUCCUGCUGCAUGGUGGGGGUUGGAAAGUUUCGGCGGUUGGGGAUGGACUCGCGGCUUAUCAGCUUGUUGGUGGGGUAGUGGCUUACCAAGGCUUUGACGGGUAGCCGGCCUGAGAGGGUGACCGGCCACAUUGGGACUGAGAUACGGCCCAGACUCCUACGGGAGGCAGCAGUGGGGAAUAUUGCACAAUGGGCGGAAGCCUGAUGCAGCAACGCCGCGUGCGGGAUGACGGCCUUCGGGUUGUAAACCGCUUUCGCAUGUGACGAAGCGUGAGUGACGGUAAUGGGUAAAGAAGCACCGGCUAACUACGUG
rnacentral:rRNA from 1 species